AACAAACGCUGGCGGCGUGCCUAACACAUGCAAGUCGUACGUGAAAAUCCGCUUCGGUGGAUGAGUAAAGUGGCGCACGGGUGAGUAACGCGUGGAUCAUCUGCCCUUUAGUUUGGGAUAACUCAUCGAAAGGUGGGCUAAUACCGGAUGAUGCUGUUUUUACUUCGGUUGGACAGCCAAAGGGGGCCUCUAUUUAUAAGCUCUUGCUGAAGGAUGAGUCCGCGUACCAUUAGCUUGUUGGCAGGGUAAAAGCCUACCAAGGCGACGAUGGUUAGCUGGUCUGAGAGGAUGAUCAGCCACACUGGAACUGAGAUACGGUCCAGACUCCUACGGGAGGCAGCAGUGAGGAAUCUUGCGCAAUGGGGGAAACCCUGACGCAGCAACGCCGCGUGAGUGAGGAAGGUCUUCGGAUCGUAAAGCUCUGUCGGGUGGAAAGAAAUGCAUGGAGGCUAAUACCUUUCAUGCUUGACGGUACCACCGGAGGAAGCACCGGCUAACUCCGUGCCAGCCGCCGCGGUAA
rnacentral:rRNA from 1 species